rnacentral:lncRNA from 1 species
CUGCAAUGUUUGUGGAAUAAUAACUUAAUUAAAUGCAAUAAUUUCCAGGAGCCCUGCGGCUGGAGACUGCAGGUCACAAGUGUUGCACAACAGAGUAAUGAGCGUAACGUUAUGCAAACGUCUGGAUCUCACUGCAGCUAAAACGAGGCAAAGUGAAGGAGCGAGUCAGGGGAGAGGCUGCGCGUUUAUGAAUUAGACAUGGAGGUUAGGUAAUGCACGGAGAAGGACGGGAACGCUCUAAACCCGUCUGCUUCCAGUCUCGACAGAGCAAAACAGGUAAUGGAGCUGGCGGAGUUUGACAAGCUGCAUGAAUAUUUCAUAGUGUAAUUCAUGGAUCACUAUUUGCACAGCGAGGAGGAGGAGGAGCUGCAGGAAUUGAAGGAAAACCACACACAUUUCCAGAAAACUUUGAUGCGUGCCAGCUUUUGUUUCACGCACAGAACACGGGCCGCCGUCUGGUGGAACCACACGAACCCCUGCCCUGCAGCCGCACAGGCUCCAGGGAACAGGAGCAACGUGGACGGGAGCUGUUGGCUGCAGCUGCAGGUACUGUGGGACCCCCUGCGGAGACCCUGCUUUAGAAGCCUACAGGCAUCUUGUACCAGUGGGCGCUUUAUUGGGUCAGUGAGAGCGUUCGGGUCAGAGCCGGUCUCGCUCCCAGUCCUUGUUUACAGGUUUGUUUGUGCUCUUUGGCGCUGGAUGGAUCUGAGCCCGGGGGAAACGUGACUGAAUGAAUUACUACAGGACGCAGUAAAGACGCCUGUUACAGAGGCGUGGUCUCGUCAUUACUUUACGUUUAUUUACGAGUCAAACGUGCGUCUUUUCAUAAGUUUGACGCUUUAAUGCUGGAUCGGCUUCUCCUGCCUCUUUGUCCCCACAUUUGCACCUCCUGAACCGAGCUGAGAGCACGGGCGAAAACCUCCCGGACUCAAAAUGUUUCCCCUUUUCCACAGAUUUAUUGCAGCUGAAUGAAAGGAAAACAGAUGAGUUUAUGAUGCGAACGUGGCAGUGGGACAUUAAGUGGUUAGAGGCUGUAAAUCAGACACUGAUUAAAUCUGUCUGGGCCAGACUUGUCCAUUUGCCUUGAGAGCAAAACUGACCUGAUUUGGGCGAUUUUCCUGACAGCUCUGUACAUCACAGGGGGCACAUUUCACACCAUUACAGCUAUCUGUGAGUCCAUUCUACUUCAAAGGUACAAUAUUCUCCAUAGCUUUUAAAGGACUUGGGGAAAUCUUCCCCCUGUAAACGGUCAGCAUCAUGUCUCAUAGAGUGCAUUCUGUCAGGACGUAUAUUCAUACGCUGCUUUUUUCCUAUGCGCUCGUUUAGUAAAAGAAUUUUUCCUUUUCCCUGCA